rnacentral:rRNA from 1 species
UUGGAGGGCAAGUCUGGUGCCAGCAGCCGCGGUAAUUCCAGCUCCAAUAGCGUAUAUUAAAGUUGUUGCAGUUAAAAAGCUCGUAGUUGAAUUUCGGGAUUGACGUAAUGGUCGUGCCUUAAGGGGUAUGAACUGUUACUGUUGAUUUCUCACCUUCUGGAGAAACUUGAUGUCCUUAAUUGGGUGUCUUGCGGAUCCAGGACCUUUACCUUGAAAAAAUUAGAGUGUUUAAAGCAGGCAUUUUUGCUCGAAUACAUUAGCAUGGAAUAAUAGAAUAGGACGGCAUGGUUCUAUUUUGUUGGUUUCUAGGAUCACCGUAAUGAUUAAUAGGGAUAGUUGGGGGCAUUAGUAUUCAAUUGUCAGAGGUGGAAUUCUUGGAUUUAUUGAAGACUAACUACUGCGAAAGCAUUUGCCAAGGAUGUUUUCAUUAAUCAAGAACGAAAGUUAGGGGAUCGAAGACGAUCAGAUACCGUCGUAGUCUUAACCAUAAACUAUGCCGACUAGGAAUCAGACGAUGUUAAUUUUUUAAUGACUCGUUCGGCGCCUUACGGGAAAC